GCCACCACACCCAGCUUCCCCUUUAAAUAUUGAAGCCAUCUCUCAAAAUUAUCUUUGGAGAAAGGCACAAACCCCAGACCAUUUCUUUGAUUCCGUGCUUUUUGCUUCUGGGCAUGUCCUUAACCUUGGCAAAAUAAACUUCUAAAUUGAUUGAGACCUGUCUCAGAUACUUUUUGGUUUACAAUUAUAAUCUAUGGUCCCCUAGAUCAUAAGGGCCCUUCCUAUACCCCAGGAAACUCAGUGUUACUAAUACCUAGAAAUUGCCCCUUUUCUGUCUCAUCAGCCAGCCCGUAGCCCCUGGGUGCCCACGUGGCCUCACCUGGCCCCAGUUCACCACAGCCUCUUUGGAUUCUGUGGUUUAACUCAUCAGAUGUGCCAUAUCUUGCUAAUUACAGGAGCAAGGUAAGGAACUAACCUUUACUAAGGAUGCAUUAUUGGCCAGACACUACUGACUCUUACAGUGGCCACUAAACCCUUCACAAUAAUAUCUACUCUUUAGAUAAAUGUUUUUGCCAUUUUAGAAAUUAUGUUGCGUGAAGUCGCUCGGCCAGUAGCAUUGGAAUUGGAGCCCAGACUCAAAGCUCUUAACUCAAAGCCCCCGCUCUGUUCUCCCGCGCAUGGUUGGACCCCUAGCCCUUGGCCCCCUUCCCUUGCCUUUGACCUGCCCCUCAAAGGACUGAGGAUAAUUUGUAGGAAAUCCUGUUCAAGCAAUCUAUGAUCCAGGUAAUCUGUGGUGAGUGAUGGCCAAAGCUAGAGUUGAAGAAGAACACCAGCAUGACAAAGGCAUGUGAGGAGUGGGGGCGGGGAAGCCAGGGAGGGGGCUGGCUUCUUGGUUCAGCCAAGAAGCAGCAACAACUAAAGAGGGAGACAUAGUAGGAUGAAAUGCUAAUUAGUGGCUUCCGGGAUUUUACAAAUAUCUUUAAAUUUAGUGAGUUUUUCAUAUACUUCACAUGAAAAUCGCCUCCCCACACACAGGUCGCAGAAGUUGGUGGCCAUCUGUGCCAUCUUCCCAGUGAACUUGCAGACAAAACCAACAGCACAAUGCUGAUAUGAAGAACAGAUGAAAUUUACAGAUGUUUGCACUUUUCCAUGUGUUUAUUGGCCCCCAUGGCUCUUUCCUGAGUGGCCUGACCAGCCCUCUCCCCCAGUCUCCUGGGCCCCAUAGUAGAGGGAGCAGAAGAGGGUGGGAAGGAGCCCCAGCUGGGAGGAGACAGGAAGGAAAAACCAGCCUUUGUUUGAACCUGAACCCUCGUCCCAGGCUGGCUACCAGUCCUCCUGUUCCAGCCUUCCUUUUCCAGUAUGAAUAAUCCCAGUUUCUUUCAUCUGAACUCCUGAACCUCCUUCAGCUCUUCCAGUCCACCAGCACCCUCGUGAUUCUGGGCUUAACACAGGUUCCAACUGUGCACCUGCAGAAAAGAGGUCAACCGACUCCUGAAGGUAAUCAUGUCUUCUUCCUGUUCAAAGUAAUUUUCAUUCUUACAUAUUUGCCUCAUGGUAUCUAUCAGAUAGCUCUUUCCAUAACAAUCCUACAUAAUAAAUAACCACAAAGCCUCAGUGACAUGUAAUGGUAAACAUUUCUUUUGCUCGUGUGUCUGGGGUGGUCAGCAGAGCAGCUUUGUGGGGGUGCCUCUCACUGCUAAGAGUCAGCUGGCUGUCACCGGGAUGACUCAGCUCAGCUCCUUCAGCAGGCUGACCCAGGCGUGUUCUCAUGGCAUGCUUGAAGAACAUAAGAGGGGAGUGGGCUCACGCAAGUACUAUGUGAUCCUCUGUUUGGGAGCUGUUGUUAACAUCCCAUUUGCCAAAGCCCGGAUUCGAAGGGUAAGGAAAUUGGCCAUCACUUUAGUGAGAGCAUCUAUAGAAUGACAUGGCAAAGGAUGCUGGAUACAAGGAAUGUUGCAAAUAGCACGCUCAUCCUGGUCCCGACUGGCAUUAGGUUCACUCCAUAGAGAAGAUAAACUCCUGGCCGGGUGCGGUGGCUCAUGCCUGUAAUCCCAGCACUUUGGGAGGCCAAGGCAGGCAGAUCGU
rnacentral:lncRNA from 1 species